rnacentral:lncRNA from 1 species
GGGUAAGAGAUACAGUGAUAGCCCCCGCUUUCGUCUGUUGACUUGGCGGUUUGGGGUAGGCUAAUCAAGGGCUUGCACUGGCCGUCGCAUGUCGACCUGUCACAUGUUCCCAGUCGAGUCUCCGAGCUCAAUCUGUGUGUAAAAAACUAUGUGUGGGUAGGAAGUUUAAUUACUCAGCUCAGUUGGUAUGCUAUGCUGUCUAUCUUUUAGACUAUGUGUUUGUAGAGCAAUUAUUUCUUGAGGUUCAGUUAGGAAUUAGAGUUGGUAUGGUUACCGGUUAAAACAAUAAUAAUAAUAAUAAUAAUAAUAAUAAUAAUAAUAAUAAUAAUAGUGAUAACCAUAAUAAUAAUAAUAAUAAUAAUAAUAGUAAUAAUUUUGUUUAUUGAGAAGGACUAGGUGAUAUUAGUAGGGAGGGAAAAGGGUGAAAUUUAUCUAAGGGAGUAGGGUUAGGGUGUGUUAGUACAAAGUCUCAGAGGAUGGGGAGAGGGAAACAGGUGGUCUGGAUUAAAACCAUUCUGUUUCUACAGGGAUUCGAGUGAUAGAGAGAGAAUAGAACUUGCCACAGUGACUAGCCAGAGAAACUCUCCUCACCUGUUGUUUUUCAUCCUCUGAUACGAAAAAAGAGGGUGGGGUAAUUAAGUAAAGAUAGAGGUUAGUAAGGUUAGGGUUAGGGUUCGGGUUAGGAUUCGGGUUUAGAGGUUAGGGUUAGGGUAAGGGUAAGGGUUAGGGUUAGAUUUAGGGUCUAGAGGUUAGGGUUAGGGUUAGGGUUAGAUUUAGGGUCUAGAGGUUAGGGUUAGGGUAAGGGUUAGGGCUAGGGUUAGAUUUAGGGUCUAGAGGUUAGGGUUAGGGUUAGGGUAAGGGUUAGGGUUAGAUUUAGGGUCUAGGGGUUAGGGUUAGGGUUAGGGUUAGAUUUAGGGUCUAGAGGUUAGGGUUAGGGUUAGGGUAAGGGUUAGGGUUAGAUUUAGGGUAUAGGGGUUAGGGUUAGGGCUAGGGUUAGGGUUAGUUAGGGCUAGGGUUAGGGUUAGGGUAAGGGUUAGGGUUAGAUUUAGGGUAUAGGGGUUAGGGUUAGGGCUAGGGUUAGGGUUAGGGUUAGGAUUUAGAGGUUAGGGUUAGGGUUAGGGUUAGAUCUAGGGUUUAGGGGUUAGGGUUAAAUUCAGGUUCUAGAGGUUAGGGUUAGGGUGAGGGUGAUGGUUAGGGUUAGUGCCUGAAGAGAGCUAACCAUGGCUAUUUGGAAGAAUUGAAAUUCAAAGAAUACGACACUUCAGAUUGUCUAGACUCUGGACUCUGCUAAAGGUAGCAAAGCUAUGGUUGAAAGUAUUGAAAAUGCAGUAUAAAAUAUAUAAGGUUAGUUACUAAUUGUUAUUGAUAAAUUUUUAGUUAAGAGUCAAAAGUGGAUGGUCCCGUGUAGAACCCUCUGUUCCACUCAGGCCUGUGUAGGCCAAAGACCCUGCUAAGGUCCCUCAAGGCUGUGACAAAAAAUUAUUUUAGAUUAAAUUGGAAAUAUAAAUUAUUACUUUUUAAUAAAUUUUAAUUCAGAGUCAAAAGUGGAUGGUCCCGUCUAGAACCUUCUACCACUCAGACCUGUCUAGGUCAAAGACUCUGCUAAGAUCCCUCAAGGUUGUGGACUAAAAUAAUUUUGAAUUGGAAAUAUUUAUAAAUUAUUCCUUUUAAUAAUUUUUUUAAUUAAUUUAAUUCAGAGUCAAAAGUGGAUGGUCCCGUAUAGAACCUUCUGUUCCACUCAGGCCUGUGUAGGCCAAAGACCCUGCUAAGCUUCCUCAAGGCUGUAAUCUAAAAUAAUUUUAGAUUGAAUUGGGUAUAUUUAAAAAUUAUUCCUUUUUAAUAUAUUUUUUUAUUUAUUUCAGAGUCAAAAGUGGAUGGUCCCGUGUAGAACCUUCUGUUCCACUCAGGCCUGUCUAGGCCAAAGACCCUGCUAAGCUUCCUCAAGGCUGUGAACUAAAAUAAUUUUGAAUUGGGUAUAUUUAAAAAAAUUAUUCCUUUUAAUUUAAAUUUUUAUUUCAGAGUCAAAAGUGGAUGGUCCCGUGUAGAACCUUCUGUUCCACUCAGGCCUGUCUAGGCCAAAGACCCUGCUAAGCUUCCCUUAAGGCUGUGACCUAAAAUAAUUUUUGAAUUGGAAAUAUUUAUAAAUUAUUCUUUUUAAAUAAUUUUUUAAUUCAGAGUCAAAAGUGGAUGGUCCCGUGUAGAACCUUCUGUUCCACUCAGGCCUGUGUAGGCCAAAGACCCUGCUAAGUUUCCCUUAAGGCUGUGACCUAAAAUAAUUUUUGAAUUGGAAAUAUUUAUAAAUUAUUAUUUUUAAUAAAUUUUUAAUUCAGAGUCAAAAGUGGAUGGUCCCAUGUAGAACCUUCUGUUCCACUCAGGCCUGUGUAGGCCAAAGACCCUGCUAAGCUUCCUCAAGGCUGUGAACUAAAAUAAUUUUGAAUUGGAAAUAUUUAUAAAUUAUUCCUUUUAAUAAAUUUUUUAAUUCAGAAGAAUUUUAGGUUGAAUUGGGUAUAUUAAUAAAUUAUUGGUCCCGUGUAGAACCUUCUGUUCCACUCAGGCCUGUGUAGGCCAAAGUUGGAGUUAGGGUUAGUGUUGGAGCUAGGGUUAGGGUUGGGCUUGGAGCUAGGAUUUUUCUGAGUGCAAUGACCCAACUCCCGAGUCUCUAGGACGUUCCUAAAAAAAAUUAUUUUUUCCCAUAGGAAUGCAUGGGUUAGGGUUAGGGUUAGGGUUGGAGCUAGGGUUAGGGUUAGGGUUAGGGUUGGAGUUAGGGUUAGUGUUGGAGCUAGGGUUAGGGUUGGGCUUGGAGCUAGG